CUGACAGAUGCCAUGCAAUGCAUACACCAUGGCUUGGAGAGGAGGCAUUAGCACGCCUGGAAAACACACUCAACAAGAUCACAGUGUGUUGCAAAGCACAAAUGGUGUUCAAUCACUGUUUGUCCAGCCCUUACAUCUCCAAGUCAUCCAAGUGGCUGCCUGUGUUCCAACACUGAUCUCUAUUGCCAGUUCCUGAGCACCAUAAAAAGGAAUAAGGUUGUUGCUGUCUACACAAUCUCAUCAGUGACGCCUAUUUAGAAAAAGGAGGAUGACCUUUUUAUGAACUUGACCAUGACGUGAGUUUGAGUUUACCACAGAACAUUAUUCC